UGAAGUGUGGACGAUGGAGAGUCAGCCUCUUCCUGCCUCUCACUAGCUUCAUCCCUUCCUCCCUAAAUUUUAGUCUGGGAGGGAAGGAGCUAUUGGUGGUCAGGAAUAGCGCACCCUUCAUUUAUCCACACUUCA
rnacentral:pre_miRNA from 1 species